AUUGAACGCUGGCGGCAGGCCUAACACAUGCAAGUCGAACGAGUGGCGGACGGGUGAGUAACGCGUAGGUAACCUGCCUAUUAGAGGGGGCUAACUAUUGGAAACGAUAGCUAAUACCGCAUACUAGUAGAUUGCCUACGUUGUAUUAGCUAGUAGGUAGGGUAAUGGCCUACCUAGGCGACGAUACAUAGCCGACCUGAGAGGGUGAUCGGCCACACUGGGACUGAGACACGGUCCAGACUCCUACGGGAGGCAGCAGUAGGGAAUCUUCGGCAAUGGGGGGAACCCUGACCGAGCAACGCCGCGUGAGUGAAGAAGGUUUUCGGAUCGUAAAACUCUGUUGUUAGAGAAGCGGUAUCUAAACAGUAAGCCACGGCUAACUACGUGCCAGCAGCCGCGGUAAUAC
rnacentral:rRNA from 1 species